CGCCCGCGCGCGCGGCGGGCCUACGGGAGGCAGCAGUGGGGAAUAUUGCACAAUGGGCGCAAGCCUGAUGCAGCCAUGCCGCGUGUAUGAAGAAGGCCUUCGGGUUGUAAAGUACUUUCAGCGGGGAGGAAGGCGUUGUGGUUAAUAACCACAGCGAUUGACGUUACCCGCAGAAGAAGCACCGGCUAACUCCGUGCCAGCAGCCGCGGUAAUA
rnacentral:rRNA from 1 species